rnacentral:rRNA from 1 species
GUCCUAGCUGUAAACGAUGAGCACUAGGUGUUGGUCCUUCGGGAUCGGCGCCGCAGUUAACACAUUAAGUGCUCCACCUGGGGACUACGACCGCAAGGUUAAAACUCAAAGGAAUUGACGGGGGCCCGCACAAGCGGUGGAACAUGUGGUUCAAUUCGACGCUACGCGAAGAACCUCACCAAGGUUUGACAUGCAGGAAGUAUGAACCUGAAAGGGGGAAGACCUGUCAAGUCAGGAGCCUGCACAGGUGCUGCAUGGCUGUCGU